rnacentral:rRNA from 1 species
GAUGAACGCUGGCGGCGUGCCUAAUAUAUGCAAGUCGAGCGAACAGACGAGGAGCUUGCUCCUCUGACGUUAGCGGCGGACGGGUGAGUAACACGUGGAUAACCUACCUAUAAGACUGGGAUAACUUCGGGAAACCGGAGCUAAUACCGGAUAAUAUAUUGAACCGCAUGGUUCAAUAGUGAAAGACGGUUUUGCUGUCACUUAUAGAUGGAUCCGCGCCGCAUUAGCUAGUUGGUAAGGUAACGGCUUACCAAGGCAACGAUGCGUAGCCGACCUGAGAGGGUGAUCGGCCACACUGGAACUGGGACACGGUCCAGACUCCUACGGGAGGCAGCAGUAGGGAAUCUUCCGCAAUGGGCGAAAGCCUGACGGAGCAACGCCGCGUGAGUGAUGAAGGUCUUCGGAUCGUAAAACUCUGUUAUUAGGGAAGAACAAAUGUGUAAGUAACUAUGCACGUCUUGACGGUACCUAAUCAGAAAGCCACGGCUAACUACGUG